AUACUUACCUGGACGGGGUCGAUGGAUGAUCAUAAAGGCCCAUAGCCUAGGAUAGCAACCUCCAUUGCACUUUGGAGAAGUGCUGUCCUAAGAUCUACCUAAGUGGUGGAGCCUACAUCAUAAUUUGUGACAGCAGAGGCCUGCGUUCGCGCAACUUCUAC